rnacentral:rRNA from 1 species
CUGGCUCAGGAUGAACGCUAGCGGCAGGCUAACACAUGCAAGUCGAGGGGCAUCGGGAGUAGCAAUACUGCCGGCGACCGGCGCAAGGGUGCGUAACGCGUGAGCAACAUGCCCGUAUCAGGGGGGAUAAUCCAUGGAAACGUGGUCUAAUACCCCAUAGUAAUUAUGUAAGGCAUCUUAUAUAAUUUAAAGCUUUGGUGGAUACGGAUUGGCUCGCGUGACAUUAGCUAGAUGGUAAGGUAACGGCUUACCAUGGCUACGAUGUCUAGGGGUUCUGAGAGGAAGGUCCCCCACACUGGAACUGAGACACGGUCCAGACUCCUACGGGAGGCAGCAGUGAGGAAUAUUGGACAAUGGAUGGAAGUCUGAUCCAGCCAUGCCCGCGUGCAGGAAGACGGCCCUAUGGGUUGUAAACUGCUUUUAUAAGGGAAUAAAGUGAGGGACGUGUCCCUUUUUGUAUGUACCUUAUGAAUAAGGAUCGGCUAACUCCGUGCCAGCAGCGGC